ensembl:lncRNA
UGGAUGACUGACAUGAAGCCUGAUUAUAUACCAGAUUUUUUAUAGCAGGGUAAAGAUGUGUCACAAUGAAAUGAAUGUUUGAUGUUCAAAAAUGCACAAAUACCUUCUUCUUCAGAAAGAAACCAAAACAGAAACAGCAGUGAUGAAGAUGAUUUUCACAUUUCUGCUUUUUUAUUGUGAUUACGAGUUUUACAUGUAAGAAUUUUUCUUCUAAAUAACAAGCAAUGAAAGAGACACGUCACAGGAGCAGACUACAGCAGUUGCUCAUAAGUCCUCAUUAGAUUCAUAUUUUCCUUAAAUUAAUAAUCUUCAAUCUUUUGUGGCUCGUGAGUCUAUUCAUACCUGUGUACAAUACAGUACUUGUAGAUGGCAGAGCUCCUGGCACUGCCAAAACACACAUGGUACAUAUAUAAUUAAUGGAAUUUCCCCCCAACCCCUAUUCCAAAAGUUCAGUGAUUAAAGUUUAUCCUGUUAAGCCCCAACGAGGCUGUCUGAGCUUGCUCUUUGAAAAUGACAAACCCAAAAGGAAUGUAAACAAUCUCGGUAUCAAAACAAAGCUGGUGAACACUGGUGAGAUCAAUUUUACAUUACAUUAUUAAAAUGUAUAAAAGUUCUUAUUGUUGAUUCUAAUCUUCUGAUCUCUGAAAUUCACAUUUCUGCUGCUGAACACAAACCAAGAGUGAUGGUUGAGUCAGUCAAGUUAAUUAAUUUCACUUUAAUCUGUUAACAAGCUGAAGCGAUUUCCACAUUGUCUCCGUCAGGCUGUGUGACAGCAAAGCUUCAAGUGUAUCAAGUUCAAGUUUCAGAGCAGCUAUUAAAACAGAAGCACUGAGUUUUUGUUCGAGUUGAAUAUUUGAACACUGCAGCAAAGACAUCCAGUGUAAAGAGCAGAACAUUGUAAUAAUGCUGAGAUUAUUCAAAGUGAUUCAUAGUCAGAAUUAUAUUGUGUGAUCUGGAUGAAGCAAUAACUGGAUAAUAAAUGAUAAAACAGCAAAAUUCUGUUUUCUUUGCUCUCACACACUAGGUCAACAGUUAAACAAAAACCUAUAACUGUCGGUGACAUUUCACAAAUCAGUUUCAUUGUGAAGUUCCAGCUGUGUCUGUUCACUGACAACAAGUGGGAACAGCAGGAGACUGUUUAAUGACAAGAGGUUUGAGACGAACUUCUUUUGCCUUUUUCUGGUUUCUGUAGAUCACAAAUCCAGCAACAGCAGCAACAACGAGGGCAGCAGCAGCAACUACCACACCAACGAUUAGUCCAACAGAUCCUGCAGGAACAACACUCAGGGUGAUGAUGCUGAUGAGCUUCAAACCAAUUGUUCCUUUCUCAACGACACGACACUCGUAUCUUCCAGUGUCAUUAAUCGUCACAUUGUUCAGAAUCAGAGACACGUCGCCAUCCUUCAUCUGUUUGUCCUUUAGAUCCACCCGGUCCUUAAAACAUGGAUGCUGGUGCACUGAAGUUUUCCUCUCAUCCCGAUACAAAAAAACAUAUUCUGAUCCCAGGUCAGCUCUUCUCCACUCCACAGUCUGGAUGUUUUUUCGAGCUUGACAUGUCAAAGUGACGUUCCUUCCAGACUCAGCUGUGACGUUUUUCUGGCCUG